CCCCGCCAUCCAGGAGACACCCACAGCAUAUGUGGCUUUCUCUGGGGCAGGCCCCAGCCUGGAAGACACUGGAGACUUCCUCUCCAGGUGACAAGGAGCAGCUGAAGGAUGCGUCUCCCAGCAAGACUGACAUGCGACAGACACGUCGAAAUGGAAAGGAAGGUCGUGAGCCCUGGGUGGCCACGCCAGGGCAGAGCAGGCACCGAGGAACAAGUGGUUCCCGCAAAGGAGACGAUUGGGCUUUCAAGAGGGCAGAGCUCAGGGCCUCACCUCCAUCAGGGGCUGAAGCAGUGAAUUAAAAAUGCAUGCCCAGAGGAGAGUAGCUGUGACCACUUCUGCCAGCACUUUUGGUUGCAUCAUUAAUAAAGACAUAUUGUUGCAGAUAAAGCUCAGACCACAGGACAGUAGGUGACAAGGGGGAUGGCAGGCAGGGG